AUGAUGGCCACCCGCCUUGCUCUUCACAUGCCCAACCUCGUUUCCAAUACUCAAAGUGCUUUCAUCAAGAAACGAAGUAUCCAUGAUAACUUUAUGUAUGUCCGCAACUUGGCUCGAUGGUUGCACCGCAACAAAACACCGUCCUUGCUCUUCAAGCUUGACAUCAAGAAAGCCUUCGACUCUGUGAGAUGGGAUUAUUUGAUGGACUUGCUUCGUCACCACCAGUUUCCGAGCCGGUUUCGAGAUUGGGUCUCCGCCCUCCUAUCCACGGCCUCAUCUAGAGUUUUGCUAAAUGGUGUUGCUGGUGAUCCAAUUAAGCAUGGCUGUGGUCUUCGACAAGGGGAUCCUCUCUCCCCUUUGCUCUUUGUCCUCGCUAUUGAUCCGCUCCACCACAUCCUAGCCAAGGCUACCGAGCAAGGGUUGUUGCAUCCUCUUCGUGGCCGGCCCAUCCGUGCAUCCUUGUAUGCGGAUGAUGCUGCUAUCUUUGUGGCGCCCAUCAUGGAUGAUAUUCACUGCUUGGCUUCGACUUUGAGCUCCUUUGGGGAGGUUACUGGCCUAGUCACCAACUGCGCCAAAAGCCUUGUGGCGCCCAUUCGCUGUGGCAACAUCGGCCUUGGCAACAUUCUACAGGCCUUCCCGGCAGUCCGUACUACUUUCCCCAUGCGAUAUCUUGGUCUUCCGUUGUCGGUCACAAGACUAAAGCGCAUCCACUUUCAGUAUUUGGAGGACAAGGUGGCAGGCAAGCUUCUGCCUUGGUCGGCAAUGCAUGUGGCUACGCCGGGGCGCAUUAUUUUGGUCAAGGCCGUGCUCACUGCCAUUGCCAUUUACCACCUCACGCCUCUAGAUCUUCCGGUUGAAGUGAUGAAGAAGAUCGAUAGCCUGCGACGUGCCUACCUUUGGGCGGGCUGUGAUAAGGUGACCGGCGGAAAAUGUAAGGUUAAUUGGGAUCUCGUCUGCAAGCCCAAGAUUUAUGGUGGACUGGGAGUGCUCAACCUCCAAAAAUUUGCAGCCGCCCUACGCUUGCGUUGGCUCUGGCAUGAAUGGGAUGAACCACUUAAGACUUGGUGUGGCUCUGGAACACCUUGCACUAGCAACGAUAAAGAUCUCUUCGCGGCUGCUACACGGAUGUGCAUUGGAGAUGGAAACAAAGCUAAGUUUUGGGAAUCUCCAUGGUUGGACGGCCUCCGGCCUAAAGAUAUU
rnacentral:rRNA from 1 species